rnacentral:rRNA from 1 species
GACAGAGGGUGCAAACGUUGUUCGGAAUUACUGGGCGUAAAGCGCGUGUAGGCUGCUCAGAAAGUCGGAUGUGAAAGCCCUGGGCUUAACCUGGGAAGUGCAUUCGAAACUGCGGGGCUGGAGUCCUGGAGAGGAAGGCGGAAUUCUCGGUGUAGAGGUGAAAUUCGUAGAUAUCGAGAGGAACACCGGUGGCGAAGGCGGCCUUCUGGACAGUGACUGACGCUGAGACGCGAAAGCGUGGGGAGCAAACAGG